UACGUAGGGGACGAGCGUUGUCCGGAAUUACUGGGCGUAAAGGGCGCGCAGGCUGUAGAUCAAGUCAGCUGUGAAAUGUCUGGGCUUAACCCGGGCAUGCGGUUGAAACUGAUGUACUGGAGUGCUGUAGAGGCAAGUGGAAUUCCCAGUGUAGCGGUGAAAUGCAUAGAUAUUACACAGAGCACCGAUUGCGAAGGCAGCUUACUAAUCCAUCAUUGACGCUGAGGCACGAAAGCGUGGGGAUCAAA
rnacentral:rRNA from 1 species